rnacentral:rRNA from 1 species
UACGUAGGUGGCAAGCGUUAUCCGGAUUUACUGGGUGUAAAGGGCGUGUAGGCGGGGACGCAAGUCAGAUGUGAAAACCACGGGCUCAACCUGUGGCCUGCAUUUGAAACUGUGUUUCUUGAGUACUGGAGAGGCAGACGGAAUUCCUAGUGUAGCGGUGAAAUGCGUAGAUAUUAGGAGGAACACCAGUGGCGAAGGCGGUCUGCUGGACAGCAACUGACGCUGAGGCGCGAAAGCGUGGGGAGCUAACAGG